AAUAGAAUCUCGGUUUAAUGGUCAUUUACGGCUUUUGAACAAAGGGGUUUGUGCGGCCGAGGGCCCAGGGGCGCAGCGGGGGCAUGAUGAGCUGGGAUAGCCUCGAGCGCCAACACCCCUGCAGGGUACCACGCGGCGCAGCGUCUGCGCAGGCGCGGGUACGCGGGGCAUCAUGGGCCGCGGAGACCCGGAAGAUGGCGGAUGCGGCCGUGGGGAAAGACAAGUGCGGGGAGCAACGGCUCGUGUCGCUACCCCUCUCCCGCAUCCGCGUGAUCAUGAAGAGCUCCCCCGAAGUGUCAAGCAUCAACCAGGAGGCGCUGGUACUCACGGCCAAGGCCACGGUGAGCGGCGGGCAUGGCGGCGUGAGCGGAGGGCGCGGACCCCAAGGGCUCCACCGCACGCCCGGCCUUUCGGCUGCCCAGCGGGGCCGCGCGCCUUCUUCUUCCCCUUCUGCGCCUGCGCGGCCUUGGCCCCGCCCACCCGCUCGCUUCCGUUGUCCUCUGCUCUGCUUUCGCCCCGCCCAUCCUCUCACCCAGUCCCGGCGUUCCCUGCGCUACUACCGCCUCUCACGCCCCGCGUACCGCGUCAGUCCCGCGGUGACCCGUUAGCAGAGCGCCCAGUGUGGCUCCGUGUGCAGGGUGUUCCGCGUGCGGGCAGCUCCACGUGCCUUCCGCCCCUCUACCCGCGUAGUAGUGCGGGCUUUGCGAAGCUUCCACGCCACUGAGUCGACCUGUACCCGAAGCUCAGGCUGUGCUUACUGUCAGCCCUGGGUUCUGUGGGGUUGACUAAGUCUCGAGCAUCCCGUGGGUGCUGUGUGCAUAGACUGGGCCUCGUCCAGCUUGUGCGUGGCCCUGGGGCCCGUGGUCUCCGUUCUGUUUCCUCUCCUUGGCCCUGGGACAGCCCUGCAGGGGCUUCUCUGAGCUGACCUCGGUCCGGGGGUUGGGAAGGGUCCCAGCUUGGGGUUUGGGCCACGUAGGGCGUCACCUUCUGCUCUGGAAUGACGAUUUUUACUGAGCAGCCUUCAAACGAGGCAUUCCAGGAGACAAAGUGUUCCUGACACAGGAACUCUUUGUGCGGCAUCUGGCCACCAGUUCCUACAGACACGGCAGUGGGAGAGCAAAGAGAGCCCUGACCUACAGCGACGUAGCCAGCACUGCGCAGGAGGCCGAAACCUUUCAGUUUCUUGCAG